rnacentral:rRNA from 1 species
UACGUAGGGUGCGAGCGUUAAUCGGAAUUACUGGGCGUAAAGAGCUCGUAGGCGGCUUGUCGCGUCGACUGUGAAAACCCACGGCUUAACUGUGGGCUUGCAGUCGAUACGGGCAGGCUAGAGUUCGGUAGGGGAGACUGGAAUUCCUGGUGUAGCGGUGAAAUGCGCAGAUAUCAGGAGGAACACCGGUGGCGAAGGCGGGUCUCUGGGCCGAUACUGACGCUGAGGAGCGAAAGCGUGGGGAGCGAACAGG